rnacentral:lncRNA from 1 species
AUGGACCUGGACGUCGCCCGCGUCUCCCGGAGCUCUUCGAGGAGCACCUGCACGAGCUCGGCCCCCGCUACGCCGUGAGGCCUACAGCCUCCGCGAGUAGAGCACAACUGCAACAGCUUCAGCGACUAGGUCAAGAGCAGCCCCGAUGGGCUCUUUAAUACGCAAACCAGAUCCUCCUCGUCUCUGCAAUCACCAUAAACAAACUCGAUUUCAAGGCCCUCGUGCUCAUUCACGGCGUUGCUAUGCAGUGCCCAUGAUACAGCAGCUGGAGACCACCCUGAGAGGGGGCGCAGUGCUGCAGUCCCCCAGUCAGGCCGGACAGACAAUACCUCGACCUCCUCCACCGAAGGAGACCAUAAGGCUCCCGCCGCC